rnacentral:rRNA from 1 species
AAUUAAAUAAUAAACGAAAUAAAUUGAAAUAUCUUAAUAAUUUCAGGAACAAAAAUCAAACGAGAUUCUAUGAUUAGUGUGAACAAAAGUAGAAAAGCCUUAAUAGUUGAUUAAGUAAAGUGAAAUUUAAUUUUGCUUGAAUAAAGGGGGACCUUCCUCUAAGGCUAAAUAUGAUGUAUAAGCGAUAGUGAAGAUAAGUAUCGUAAGAGAAAGAAAAUAAAGAGUAGUUUUAUAAGCAGUUCAAGUUAAAAAUAAGAAAAAAUAAGAACGUACCUUUUGCAUAAUGGGUCAGCAAGUUAAUAUUAGAUGCAAGCAAACCAAAGUUUGCCUAGAUAAACCAGUUAUGAAAUAAUGAUAAAGUAUCUAAUAUUAGACCCGAAGCCUAGUGAUCUUACCAUGGUCAGGAUUAUAAAAGUCCGAACGGGUUAUCGUUGUAAAGAUAUCCGAAGAACUGUGGUAAGUUAGUGAAAGACAAUACUGACUAGGAUAGCUGGUUUUCCGCGAAACCUAUCUAAGUAGGUGAUUCUAUAUACAUCUUAGCAGGUACAUUAUGGACUCUCUGACAAAAUGUGUAUUUAUACAUUUUGUGCACAUCGGGGAAUUUGCGAGAAUUUUAUCGGUGAGUAGACGAACAUCGGAAUGGCAAAGAUUUUUAUUGAAUAGUCAGACAUAAUAUGAUAAGGUAAUAUGUCUAAAGGGAAACAGCCCAAAACAAGAGCUAAUAAGGUUCCAAAAUUAUUAUUAAGUGAAAAUAAGGAAGUUGUUAUUUCAUACGGCUAGUUGAUAGGCUUAGAAGCGGCCAAUUUACAAUGAUCUCGUAACAGAGCACUGGCUAAUAAAUAUAAAACAUAUAACGGCGCCGAAAAUUUAACGGAUCUAAAUAAUAUACCGAAACCUUGUUCAUGUUUACUAACGUAUUUUUCAAAAAAAUAAUCUGUUAAUUAACAUGGGGUAGCGGAACGUAGGGCAAAUUUAGGAUCUUUUCUAUUUUAGAAAAGAGAUAAAAUAACCCUAGUGAUAAUGCUGACAUGAGUAACGAAAAAGGAGUAAUCCUCGCCUUAAGCUUAUGACUAAACUAAAAGUAACGGCCUCUAAGUAAAAAGUCCUAAAGGAUUUAACGAUGAGAAAAUACUAUUUUAUAUAUAAUACCUUUUAACUGCUCAGUGUAACUUAGAUUAAAUAAAGUAAAAACCGAUUAGGAUAACAUAUAAUUUAACUUAAGUGUAAUCUUACACAAAAAGUGGUUUAAAGCAAAAAGAGUUCAGGAAAUAUACGUAAAAUUUAAAGUACCGUUUCUAGACACUUUGAAGGUAAGCUAGUGUAGUAUACGAAGGCGAAUGAGUCAACAAUCAUUAAGGAACUCGGCAAAUUAACUUGCGUAACUUCGGGAUAAGCAGAGCCAUUCUUAUUUAGUAAUAUAAAAUAGGAAGAGGAGGCAUAGAAUAGUGUUGUACGACUGUUUAAUUAAAACAAAGCACUUUGCAUAAGACUUAAAGUCAAAGUAUUGAGUGUGAUAUCUGCCCUCUAUCGGCUGGUUAACGGAUUUGCUAGGCCUGUUAGGUUUGGCUUAGAAGGAACCCCCGAUCAAUGGCGGUCUUAACUCUGAGGAUCCUAAGGUAGCGAAAUGCCUUGGCCGUUAAAUGCGGUCUUGCAUGAAUGAUUUAACGAUACAACAGCUGUCUCAAUGAUUGACUCAGUGAAAUUGUAAUAACUGUGCAGAUACAGUUUACUUCUAGAUAGACGAGAAGACCCUUUGCAGCUUUACUGUUACUAUCAAUUGGGUAUAACACAGCUAGUUUUAGUGAAUAAGGUAGUUGAUAUUACAAUGAUGAAACACCUUUACUUAGCUUGUUAUAUAGAUAGAAAAGGUUUAUAGAACAAAAUGAAGUUUUGUUUAGUAUAGAUAACCUAUAAACCCCCUCUACGAAACUAAUUCAGAUAAUUUGAAAACAAUUGGUAAUAGACAGUUUAUGCGGGGCACAGAUCCCAUAAAAAGUAACUGGGAAUGUCCAAAGUUAGUUAGUAAUAUAGCAUAAAGCAAUAAAAUAGCAAACUGCUAUUUUAUUAUUAAUUUUUAAUUGGAAGGUUUAUAACUACCAAUUCAACCGUUCUCUAUUGAGUUAGAGAUAUUAAUUUUUUUUUAUUUAGGUAAGAUCUUCUAUAUUGAGAAUAGUUGCAAACAAAACAAAAAAACAAACGAAACGGACGAAAAACGAAACAUAAGAAACAGAUACCGAUUCAAUAAAAUAUAUUUGGACAAAAUAUAAUAAUACAAAAUAAUAUUUAAUUAGUGUAUAAAUAAGUUGUUUAUAUAUUAAUAUUUAAAUUUGCAUGAAGAGUUUAAUGGUAUAAUCUUGCCUUACUGUUUGACUUACAAGUCUAUCAGUCGCGUAAGCGGGGCAUAUGAUCACAAGAUGCGGAAUGGAAAGGUCUUGGAUUUUUGAAUAAAGCUACGCUAGGGAUAACAGGCUAAUUGCGCCGGAGAGUACAAAUUGGGUUGCGCAGUUUGGCACCUCGAUGUCGGCUUGGCCCAUCCACAUGAUUGCAAAAAGCAUGAAGGGUACGACUGUUCGUCGAUUAAAGGGCUACAUGAGCUGGGUUAAAUACGUCGUGAGACAGUAUGGUUUCUAUCUUCUAGAAGAAAUUUAAAUAAAAUAAGGAUAGCCCCCUCGUACGAAAGGAGCUGGGUAUGUCAAUCCAUGGUUUACCUGUUGUU